GGGCGGUUGGCGCAGUGGUAGCGCGCUUCCCUGACACGGAAGAGGUCGCUGGUUCAAACCCAGUACCGCCCA
rnacentral:tRNA from 1 species